UACGGGGGGGGCAAGCGUUGUUCGGAAUUACUGGGCGUAAAGGGUUCGUAGGUGGCUUGCUAAGUCAGACGUGAAAUCCCUCAGCUUAACUGGGGAACUGCGUCUGAUACUGGCGAGCUUGAGUGCAGGAGAGGAACGCAGAAUUCCAGGUGUAGCGGUGAAAUGCGUAGAUAUCUGGAGGAACACCGGUGGCGAAGGCAAUCCCCUGGGCCUGCACUGACGCUCAUGCACGAAAGCGUGGGGAGCAAACAGG
rnacentral:rRNA from 1 species